GACGAAGGAUGCAAGCGUUAUCCGGAUUCAUUGGGUUUAAAGGGUGCGUAGGCGGACUGAUAAGUCAGUGGUGAAAUCUCUUUGCUUAACAAAGAAACUGCCAUUGAUACUGUCGGUCUAGAGUAUAGAUGACGUUGGCGGAAUAUGACGUGUAGUGGUGAAAUACUUAGAUAUGUCAUAGAACACCGAUUGCGAAGGCAGCUAACGAAACUAUAACUGACGCUGAGGCACGAAAGUGCGGGGAUCAAACAGG
rnacentral:rRNA from 1 species